rnacentral:rRNA from 1 species
UUCGGAGGUACUCGAGUGGCGAACGGGUGAGUAACACGUGGGUAAUCUGCCCUGCACUUCGGGAUAAGCCUGGGAAACUGGGUCUAAUACCGGAUAGGACCUUUURGCGCAUGCCUUUUGGUGGAAAGCUUUUGCGGUGUGGGAUGGGCCCGCGGCCUAUCAGCUUGUUGGUGGGGUGAAGGCCUACCAAGGCGACGACGGGUAGCCGGCCUGAGAGGGUGUCCGGCCACACUGGGACUGAGAUACGGCCCAGACUCCUACGGGAGGCAGCAGUGGGGAAUAUUGCACAAUGGGCGCAAGCCUGAUGCAGCGACGCCGCGUGGGGGAUGACGGCCUUUCGGGUUGUAAACCUCUUUCAGCAGGGACGAAGCGCAAGUGACGGUACCUGCAGAAGAAGCACCGGCCAACUACGUGCCAGCAGCCGCGGUAAUACGUAGGGUGCGAGCGUUGUCCGGAAUUACUGGGCGUAAAGAGCUCGUAGGUGGUUUGUCGCGUUGUUCGUGAAAACCGGGGGCUUAACCCUCGGCGUGCGGGCGAUACGGGCAGACUGGAGUACUGCAGGGGAGACUGGAAUUCCUGGUGUAGCGGUGGAAUGCGCAGAUAUCAGGAGGAACACCGGUGGCGAAGGCGGGUCUCUGGGCAGUAACUGACGCUGAGGAGCGAAAGCGUGGGGAGCGAACAGGAUUAGAUACCCUGGUAGUCCACGCCGUAAACGGUGGGUACUAGGUGUGGGUUUCCUUCCUUGGAAUCCGUGCCGUAGCUAACGCAUUAAGUACCCCGCCUGGGGAGUACGGCCGCAAGGCUAAAACUCAAAGGAAUUGACGGGGGCCCGCACAAGCGGCGGAGCAUGUGGAUUAAUUCGAUGCAACGCGAAGAACCUUACCUGGGUUUGACAUGCACAGGACGCCGGCAGAGAUGUCGGUUCCCUUGUGGCCUGUGUGCAGGUGGUGCAUGGCUGUCGUCAGCUCGUGUCGUGAGAUGUUGGGUUAAGUCCCGCAACGAGCGCAACCCUUGUCUCAUGUUGCCAGCGGGUAAUGCCGGGGACUCGUGAGAGACUGCCGGGGUCAACUCGGAGGAAGGUGGGGAUGACGUCAAGUCAUCAUGCCCCUUAUGUCCAGGGCUUCACACAUGCUACAAUGGCCGGUACAAAGGGCUGCGAUGCCGUAAGGUUAAGCGAAUCCUUUUAAAGCCGGUCUCAGUUCGGAUCGGGGUCUGCAACUCGACCCCGUGAAGUCGGAGUCGCUAGUAAUCGCAGAUCAGCAACGCUGCGGUGAAUACGUUCCCGGGCCUUGUACACACCGCCCGUCACGUCAUGAAAGUCGGUAACACCCGAAGCCGGUNGCCUUU